CGCCCGGCGGGGCGGGGGCGCGCCGGGGCGGGGCAGCAGCAGGGGGAGCCCCCGGACCGGCCCAUCCUGCCGGGCCCGCGCCGAGCGGCCGCGGAGGAGGCGGAGGAGGCGGGAGCGGGCGCCGCGCUCGCCCGGGCUCCCUCCUGCGCCCGCCGCGCCCCGCGCCCGCCCUCGCUCCCUCCCGCGCUGCUCUCCUCCCUCCUUCCCGGCUCCAAUCCCCACGUUCCCCCGCUCCCCGCCCCUCGGCCUCCUCCUUCUCCCUCUCGUCGUCCCCACCUUCUCCUGCGGGCCCACGCUCCCCGGGGCGAGGAGGGACGCGGAGACUGGCGGAGGGGCGCUCGGGGACAGGAGAGACCGGGAUGGGGAGAGUGUGAGGAGGCGGACGCGCAGGACGCAGAGCCGAGAAACUCUCCGAGCCCCGGGGAGACUAGCCGGCAGGACACAGCAAGAAGCAAAACAAAACACAGGAACCAGACAGACGUAGAAGAAAAGCGGCCAUGGGUCCAGAAGGCGUUAGAAACAGCCUCUCAUCCGCCCCCUCCGCGGGGAGUAUUUGGGAUUGAGCCUGACCCCAAAGUCAGGACCCACCUACUCAAGGGGCGCCAGAUUCAGACAAAGAUACCUGCUGCCCCCUGUGUCCCCAGUCGCUGGACACCCUUCCCUAGUCCUCUGCCACAGGGGAGACGUCUAGGCCACCUAUUGUCUCCAAAGGACUCGAAGCUGAGGACCUCCACAUCAAGUGCAAGCUCCCACCCCCUAAGCAGCUCCAGUCAGCCCAUCAUCCAUCGCUCUGCUUUGGAACUGGACCUGGACCGUCAUUCCCACUCCCUGACUCUGCUUAUAAAGAAAGUCCUCCCUCCUCCUAUAUAACUCAAGUCACAGGUUUCCCAGUGGAGAUGGAAGUUCAUUCAGUCUGUGGUCUAAUCUCAUUCCCUUCUUUUCCAGGGUCAGGAUCUGAUACUGGUUAGAAACUAAUGGGCCCUGGGGGUGAUUUGAGUUGGGUCACCCUGGAGGGGAAGAUAGAGGGAAGGGAUGUCUUUUCAGAAACUGAAUCUACUCCCAUUCUCAGAUUCACCAGUGUUCUCUAGUAUUGAGUACUUCCUGGAACUCCCUCCUGCCCUCCCUCACCCUCCCCACUGAAUUUUCCAUGAUGAAAACUGGUGUGUGUUGGGGGUGUGGAUUCUGAGAAGCCAGUGCCCAGGGCUCAAUGUCCAGUGCCUGCUCAAGGCAGCCAGUACCACCAGCUGCAAAGCCCUCUGUCCCUCCCUGUCUCAGCUCCCAACUGGGUCGUCUCUGCUCAUCUUGCCUUUGGCAAAGGCUGGGAAGUCUGGUUCUGAUUCCAAUCUGGCAGCUGGGGGGAGAGGCACGGUGACAAUGCGAUCCCUCAGAGACUGGCAUUUGGAAGGGGUGGGUGUGGCUGGGACUGGGGAGCCUAGAGCUUACUGCUCUUGGCUGAGUUGGUGUCCAGUAGGUCGUCUCAAUCUCAGAGGUUAGAGCAGUGGGAACUGCUGGGAGCUGGAGGGAGGGCUGGGGGGUUGGAAUGGGGUGCAGGAGGGAAGAGGUGGGGAGGCACUGGGAGGAGGGGAGAGGCAGGAGUUUUGGGUAAGCCCCAAGGAGAGUGACCGGGAUCAGAGGCUAGCGGGAAGGGGGCAGGGUUGAAGGUCAUUGUGUGUAUUUUGGUAAGAUUUGAUUAUGUAACCGAGACACAUGAGGCAUGAAAAUUUGCUCGUUUCUUCGGAGUCUUAGCUAGUUUUUUAAAAAUCGUGUCCUUUCCAGAGUUCAUUAGGGUCUUUGGCUGGGUGCCUGGGAUGCCUGCCGAAGGGGGUUAGUAGGUUCUAUUUUUUUUUUUUUUUUAAGUAAUCUCUACACCCCGUGUAGGGCUCGAACUCACUACCUUGAGAUCAAGAGUUGCAUGCUGUUCCUACUGAGCUAGCCAGAUACCCCAAGUUCUAAUGUUUAAAGGUACCAAGGAGAGACUGGUGCUCAGAGAAGAGGCACCUGAUUGGAUCCCAGAGAGGUUUUCUUACCUUGACUAUGCAGAGGGCAGCCCAUCUUGGGACCGAAGGCUGGACCCCCUCUUCCAAGGUUGACAGGGCGCACCGGUCAUGGGAUCUACUUCUGAAGAUGGGGGUUGUACCAGCGCCUACCUUUCCCUUGGAUUUCGAGUACCCUCUUGGGACACAGUACAGGGAGCUCCUUCUUUACCCUUCCUGUGCCCAACCAACAUGAAUCUCUCUGAAGUUAGCCUUUCCCACUCGUAUUCUUUUAUUUUUUGAGGUGGGGAGAGGAGGGAGAGAGCGUGCCAGCUGGGGAGGGGCAGAGAGAGGAGAGAAUCCCAAGCAGGCUCUGUGCUCCACCC